GACGAACGCUGGCGGCGUGCCUAAUACAUGCAAGUCGAACGCAGUGGGGACGGGUGAGUAACACCUGGGUAACCUCCCAUCAGAGGGGGUAACACUUGGCAACAGGUGCUAAACCGAUACUGAUGGAUGAACCCGCGGUGCAUUAGCUAGUUGGUGGUGUAACGGCUCACCAAGGCCAAGAUGCAUAGCGGACCUGAGAGGGGGACCGGCCACACUGUAACUGAGACACGGCCCAGACUCCGACGGGAGGCAGCAGUGGGGAAUAUUCGGCAAUGGACGAAAGUCUGAACGAGCAACGCCGCGUGAUGGAAGAAGGUUUUCGGAUCGUAAACCUCUUUUGUUAGAGAAGCGGUAGCUAACCAGAAAGCCACGGCUAACUACGUGCCAGCCGCCGCGGUAAUAC
rnacentral:rRNA from 1 species